GGCCUUCACUGCGAGAGGAGCCGCCGCCAUGUCUGCGCAUCUACAAUGGAUGGUCGUGCGGAACUGCCCCGGUUUCCUGAUCAAGAGGAAUAAGCAGACCUACAGCACGGAGCCCAAUAACUUGAAGGCCCGCAACUCCUUCCGCUACAACGGUCUGAUUCGCUGCAAGACUGUGGGCGUGGCGCCGGCAGCCAAUGGCAAGGUGUUCUGGUGGUCAUGGGUGGAGAUGCGGCCAGCGGACGCCUGCCGCCUCCUGUGUGCGGACCGUUAUCAACAAGAACGCCAGGUUCAGCAGCCUCAAACACAUGAUCUGCAAGAACAAGUACCGUCCUGACCUGCCAUGACUGCCAUCAGCAAGGCCAGCGCCAUCCUGCGCAGCCAGAAGCCUGUGAUGGUGAAGAGGACGCGGACCCGCCCCACCAAGAGCUUCUGA